rnacentral:rRNA from 1 species
CAGUAGCCGCGGUAAUACGCAGGGUGCAAGCGUUAAUCGGAAUUACUGGGCGUAAAGGGCGCGUAGGCGGCGAUCAAAGUCAGGCGUGAAAUUCCUGGGCUCAACCUGGGGGCUGCGUUUGAUACUUGGUCGCUUGAGUGGGGAAGAGGGUCGUGGAAUUCCCAGUGUAGAGGUGAAAUUCGUAGAUAUUGGGAAGAACACCGGUGGCGAAGGCGGCGACCUGGUCCUUUACUGACGCUGAGGCGCGAAAGCGUGGGGAGCAAACAGGAUUAGAUACCCGCGUAGUCCCUGUCUCUUAUAC